CACAUUUUGUUUUACAGUAUCGUAUAAUGUGGAAAGAUCGAAGUUGCAGAGAGCGGACAACUGCAAAUUGAGAUUCUGAAAAUGAGGAAUAAAGGUGAUCAUAGGGGAGGGAAAGAGUGUUUUACAUUUGUAAUCGGAUGAUGAUGAAUAAAUGUCAGUGACACCACCACCAAGGCCUUUAAAAGUGACAGUGGCAAUGGCAGGACUAUUCUGCAAGCAUCACAACAGUAACUACAAGAUCCCCCAACACUUGCACCAUAUCUACAGAGGCUGUCGUGAAAUUCCGUCGUUUCUCACGGUAGAGGUACGAAAGACAUAUGCCGCCUGAAUGAGGACAGCAUCGGACAGAGAU